rnacentral:lncRNA from 1 species
UUCGAUUUUAUAUCUGUUAUGGGUUGGUUGGUGGAGCAUUGAGUUGGAUUGGAUUGUGACUUUAAGAGGGUGAAUCUUAAGGUUGGGGAUGGUGAGGAAGUGGUGAUGGUCGAUGAGCAUCGAGAUUACCUCUCCAAAGUAAUCUCUACUAUGGUGGCUGAAAAGUUGGCCUGAAAGGAAUGUAAUGCGUAUUUGGCUUAUAGGGAUCAGUUGUGGAAGGGAUUAGCAUUAUAACGGAUUUUUUAGACGUGUUUCUUAAG